ensembl:antisense 4930481A15Rik RIKEN cDNA 4930481A15 gene
AACCUUGACUGGACUGGAACUCACUCUGUAGACCAGGCUGGCUUCAAACUCAAAGAUCCACCUGCCCCUGCUGGGUGCUGGGACUAAAGGCCUGCACCACACGCCUGACUGGUGAAUUGUCUUCUAAUUCUAAAUCUGGUACUAAGUGCUCUAAGAAAGCUCAAGAGGCUCACUGGUGUUGUGGUGGCCCAGGGCGUCAGCAGUGCCGUGACCUCUAGCAAGCGUAUGGCCUGGCAGUGGAGACUGACUAACCCUAAGUUUCCCCUCGUUGAUGUGCUCAUAGAUCGCGUCUGCGCCCUGAUCCAAGGCACGCUCGAAGAACAGGGCGCCCACUGCGAUGGUGAGGGCAAAGGUGGAACAGCAAGGAGUACAGACGCGAAGGGAUCGUCGGCGACGACAUGUUGCCUCACUGCCGAACUCGCGCCACUGCCAGAUGUAUUUCUUUAUGUUCCGGUGCCACAUGCAUGCCUGGUACCUGAGGAUGACAGAAGAGGACAUCAGGUCCCCUGGAACUUGAGUUGCAAUUGUAAGCCACCUUGUAGGUGCUGGGAAGCAAAGCUGGGUCCCCUGGAAAAGCAUCCAAUGCUCUUAACUGCUGAGCCGUUUCCCAGCCCCCUUUUAAAGGUGUUUUCUUUUGUUUAACUUGC